UCUCUUCUUUGGUCCUUUUUUGUUAGUACACUGCUUAGCUAGCUAGUCCUGAUUUUUUUUAUUUGUAUGCUCAGUUUUCUGUCUUAGCUGUUGUUUCCAGUUGGUUGGUUCUGUUUUGUUUUGUUUUUCUUUUUUGUUGUUUUGCUUUUGGACUACUUCUCUAAUUUGUCAGAAUUGGUUUGAACAGCAGGCACAGGCUCCAGGAGGCUUUCAGCAGUAUGUGACUUACAGGUGAAAUAGGUAGUUACUCAUACAUUUAAUGGAAGUACGGAAUAUAAGAAGGUACCAGGGAACAAAAAGCAAGGGGACAGUCAGUGAGAUGGACAGUGUCAAACAUCCUUCCGAUGCAUAAGAAAUGCUUUCCGUGGAAUGCAAGAUGACUCUGUGGAAAGUGCUGUCAUGGAGGACCAGUGACUGAGACUUUUCUGCAUAUCCUGUGCUGAAACAGCAGAGAUGAUUAGUACUGCUUCUGUCAACUGAGAACAUGAGACGGAAAGAAGGAGCCUUUCCACCACUCCUUGUUCUGCUGUCUGAAAGAAAAGCCUGAAAACCCUGGUGGAGAACGCUGGCAUCCUGUGCUGCCUGAGUGUUCAUCACCCACAAUACCUGCAGACUAUACAGAAGCUUGUGUCCCUUUUCCUUCAUUCUGCAGUAACAGUUAAAUCGAUGAAAGGCUCUUCUUCGAAGGCUUGGUCUAGCUACUAUGUGCGUCUGAAAGAAUAUCCACACAAAGUGAUUCCUGCUUUUGUGGCUUGAAGAGAUAAAGAUGUAGCAAGAAGAGUAGAAUUCAGUCUCCUCAGAAACCACUGAAUGCAAUGAAUUCAAAACUGAAUAUCACCAUCCCCACUGGGUUAAGCUGGGCUUGGGCUGUCGUGGCAAGGAGAAGAAAAAGGGAUGGUGCUAGGAUGGAGAAAGAAAGGAGAACCAGACUUGUUUCUCCUACGUCAAGAUACAUAAGAGGCACACAGUAGCUGCACAGCAAGUGCAUAGGCAUAUCUUGCCUAUGCAUAUCCCUACUGUGUGUUGGUAUCUGCAUUUCAGUAUAUUCAACCUAGCUGUGCUACAUACAUAUCUUUGAUGACGUUCUCAGCUCUGCAGCUAAAUGCCCUCUUUUUUCCUGGGCUGAAACACUGCAUUUCAUUUCACUCAUUCUCCCAGGCAGACACAUGGAAACAAGAUCUCCGUCAGUAAGUAACUACAAAAGACUAGAGAGUCAAGUGAAGAGAGAAAAGUAAUUUCUUGGGCAGAUUCUUAAAUGACCAUCACAUUUUGAAUGGUUCUUUGUAUUUGCUAUUUUUAAGCUAAUGCCUUAGUCUGUUUCUGGUGGUUCCCAGGAUUUAUAAUGACAUAAAGAUCUUAAUGGCAUGGAAAAGAUUUUAGACAUCUUUUCUACAUUCUAUAUUCAUCUGUGUAUGUACAUCAUGCAUAUUCACUGUAGUCACACCAGCUUCAUUUUCCAUAAACACUUACAAAUGCAGCUUUCACUGAAGCAAGAAAGAACAAGUACAUUUCAGAGUUGCAUUGGUCUGUUUAGGACUCAUAAGCAACACUGAACUGCGUCUCGUUUAGCAAUAUUACUGCUCAUAUCUAACUUAUGACCUCCAUUUCAUCAUUUUUUAAAAAGGCCCUAUUUAGCACUCCAUAUGCUGGAAAAUUCUUCAGCUAAAGUCACAGGAGUAUUCUCCUGCCUUAGUAAGAUAUGAGAAAAAUAGAAUUAAAAUAAAAAAGCUUUAUUUGUGAACAUCCGCAAGUAAACAUUUUUUCCUUGCUCCAGUAACGCGUGCUUCCUCUAAGCAGCAGAAACAGUGCCUCAGCAGGUGUCUAUCAGCUGGUGCUGUGCCAAAUUGCAAUAGAGAGAGAGUUUGCUUUUAAUCUCUUGAUUUUGACAUCGCCCUUACUGUUGAUUUAAUGAGCCCUGUGUCAUAAAUAGGAUUACAGACCUCAGAGGUCUAAUUCUCAGCUCCUCAAUACACUGAAGAGUAACAGUAACUAUGGUAAAUAAUUACUUCAAAUCAAAAUUACAGCUUUAGACUUGCAACGUUGGAAAUGUUUGUUCAGUGAUCUGUACAGAGGGAAUCACUUGUUCUUAUCCCAGUGGAACAGGAUGGAACCCAGUGAUGUCAACAUCACAAAUAGCUGGCACAAAUUUGCUGACACAGUAAAGAAGAUGAUACUGACAUCAGGCAAAACCAGCUGAAAUUUGUGGUUGUGCGGCGGGAAUAUGGCUGAUCUCUGCCUCUUCCCUUCCCUCUACAGCAUCUUUUCCUUUUGGACUUGAGUAAAAUUAAAAUCUAAUUCUGAAAAUACAGAUGUUCCAUGUGGUUUUCACAGAGUGCGCUGGGAUUAAGUAAAUGCUUCAGGAGGCUAAUCUUUAUCAGGAGAGAUAAAGCUUUUGCUGUGCUUGCUUUAUGACUCUAAUUUUCAGAAACUGCCUGAUUACCAGGAUGUCCACACAGGACAUUUGGUCACCUGGAUAAUUGUAAUAGAUAUUCUGCUUUAAAGUCACUGUUUACAUGCAGAUUUCAAAACAUGAUUUGUUAAGGAUAUUUACUAGAUGCGGAGAGCCAGUGAAUUCAUUUACUAGGAACUCAAGGAGGUCAGUAGAAAACCAAAGGAUA